ACAUAAGUAGGAUGAUCCUUACCUGUUCUUUCUUUUUGGGGGAAGUCUUUGAACAUGAUGGUUUGAGUUGCCAUGGUCAAUGUCUUUGUGUAAUCAAGACUUGCAAUGCCCUGAUUCUCCUCUCUUCU
ensembl:snoRNA U8 U8 small nucleolar RNA